rnacentral:rRNA from 1 species
AGUGAACGCUGGCGGUAGGCCUAACACAUGCAAGUCGAGCGGCAGCACAGUAAGAGCUUGCUCUUACGGGUGGCGAGUGGCGGACGGGGGAGGAAUACAUCGGAGUCUACUUUUGCGUGGGGGAGAACGUAGGGAAACUUACGCUAAUACCGCAUACGACCUACGGGUGAAAGCAGGGGAUCUUCGGACCUUGCGCGAUUGAAUGAGCCGAUGUCGGAUUAGCUAGUUGGCGGGGUAAAGGCCCACCAAGGCGACGAUCCGUAGCUGGUCUGAGAGGAUGAUCAGCCACACUGGAACUGAGACACGGUCCAGACUCCUACGGGAGGCAGCAGUGGGGAAUAUUGGACAAUGGGCGCAAGCCUGAUCCAGCCAUACCGCGUGUGUGAAGAAGGCCUUCGGGUUGUAAAGCCCUUUUGUUGGGAAAGAAAAGCAGCAGGUUAAUACCCCGCUGUUCUGACGGUACCCAAAGAAUAAGCACCGGCUAACUUCGUG